rnacentral:rRNA from 1 species
CCUACGGGUGGCAGCAGUGAGGAAUAUUGGUCAAUGGCCGGAAGGCUGAACCAGCCAUGCCGCGUGAAGGUCAGUGCCCUAUGGGCGUUAAACUUCUUUUGUGCGGGAGCAAUAAUGGUCACGUGUGGCCAGACGAGAGUACCGUACGAAUAAGCAUCGGCUAACUCCGUGCCAGCAGCCGCGGUAAUACGGGGGAUGCAAGCGUUAUCCGGAGUUAUUGGGUGUAAAGGGUGCGUAGGCGGUGAGGUGAGUCAGCGGGGAAAUGCCCCGGGUCAACGGGGUGAAGUGCCAUUGAUACUGUCUGGCUGGAAUGCGGAUGCCGUGGGAGGAAUGUGUGGUGUAGCGGUGAAAUGCAUAGAUAUCACACAGAACACCGAUUGCGAAGGCAUCUCACGAAUCCGCGAUUGACGCUGAUGCACGAAAGCGUGGGUAUCAAACAGGAUUAGAUACCCCUGUAGUC